CGAGUGAACCGGGAUGAGCUCAAAUUUAAAAUCUGGCGUCUUUCAGGCGUCCGAGUUGUAAUCUACAGAGGCGUUUUCCGCGCCGGACCGCGUCCAAGUCCCUUGGAAUAGGGUAUCAAAGAGGGUGACAAUCCCGUACUUGACGCGACGACCGGUGCUCUGUGAUACGUUCUCAAUGAGUCGAGUUGUUUGGGAAUGCAGCUCUAAAUGGGUGGUAAAUUCCAUCUAAGGCUAAAUAUUGGCGAGAGACCGAUAGCGAACAAGUACCGUGAGGGAAAGAUGAAAAGCACUUUGGAAAGAGAGUUAAACAGCACGUGAAAUUGUUAAAAGGGAAGCGAUUGAAGUCAGUCGUGUGGGAGGUAUUCAGCCGUUCUGGCGGUGUAUUUGCCUCUCACGGGUCAACAUCAGUUUGAUCCGGCAGAAAAAGGCGGGGGGAAGGUGGCACCCUCGGGUGUGUUAUAGCCUCCUGUCAUAUAUGCCGGACCAGACUGAGGAACGCAGCUCGCAGCAAUGCCGGGGUUCGCCCACGUACGAGCUUAGG
rnacentral:rRNA from 1 species